CGUAGGGUGCGAGCGUUAAUCGGAAUUACUGGGCGUAAAGCGUGCGCAGGCGGUUUGUUAAGAUAGGCGUGAAAUCCCCGGGCUCAACCUGGGAACUGCGCUUAUGACUGGCAAGCUAGAGUACGGCAGAGGGGGUGGAAUUCCACGUGUAGCAGUGAAGUGCGUAGAGAUGUGGAGGAACACCAAUGGCGAAGGCAGCCCCCUGGGUCGAUACUGACGCUCAUGCACGAAAGCGUGGGGAGCAAACAGGAUUAGAUACCCUGGUAGUCCACGCCCUAAACGAUGUCAACUGGUUGUUGGGUCUUUACUGACUCAGUAACGAAGCUAACGCGUGAAGUUGACCGCCUGGGGAGUACGGCUGCAAGGUUG
rnacentral:rRNA from 1 species